rfam:Solanum lycopersicum cultivar Heinz 1706 chromosome 6, whole genome shotgun sequence.
GUGUUAGUAGAAAGGAGAGAUGGUUGGCAUCUCCACCGAAAGGGAUGGGAACAGCCUUUAGGCUUCACCUGUUACCACACAUCCGGUUAAGGCUUCCCACUUCGGUGGAUCUUUCCCUAAUUCUUU